rnacentral:rRNA from 1 species
AUGCCAUGCUUCAUUAAACCGGACAUGCAUCAUACUUGGUUGUGCAUCAUACCAUGUUUAUGUGUUGGUUGUUUUACUAUGUUGUUUGCUUCUUUCCGGUGUUGCUUCUUCGGGUUGGUUCCGAUGACGUUUGAUUGUGAGGAACCGUUCGUCUACGCCCGUUUGUCUUCUUCAUGGACUCGUUCUUCUUCCUUGCGGGAUUUCAGGCAAGAUGAUCAUACCCUCGAAAUCACUUCUAUCUUUGCUUGCUUAGUUGCUCGCUCUUUCGCUAUGCAUAUGCUGCGAUACCUACCACUUGCUUAUCAUGCCUCCCAUAUUGUUGAACCAAGCCUCUAA